GCCCUUCGGGGUGGAUUAGUGGCGAACGGGUGAGUAACACGUGGGCAAUCUGCCCUUCACUCUGGGACAAGCCCUGGAAACGGGGUCUAAUACCGGAUAACACUCUGUCCCGCAUGGGACGGGGUUAAAAGCUCCGGCGGUGAAGGAUGAGCCCGCGGCCUAUCAGCUUGUUGGUGGGGUAAUGGCCUACCAAGGCGACGACGGGUAGCCGGCCUGAGAGGGCGACCGGCCACACUGGGACUGAGACACGGCCCAGACUCCUACGGGAGGCAGCAGUGGGGAAUAUUGCACAAUGGGCGAAAGCCUGAUGCAGCGACGCCGCGUGAGGGAUGACGGCCUUCGGGUUGUAAACCUCUUUCAGCAGGGAAGAAGCGAAAGUGACGGUACCUGCAGAAGAAGCGCCGGCUAACUACGUGCCAGCAGCCGCGGUAAUACGUAGGGCGCAAGCGUUGUCCGGAAUUAUUGGGCGUAAAGAGCUCGUAGGCGGCUUGUCACGUCGGAUGUGAAAGCCCGGGGCUUAACCCCGGGUCUGCAUUCGAUACGGGCUAGCUAGAGUGUGGUAGGGGAGAUCGGAAUUCCUGGUGUAGCGGUGAAAUGCGCAGAUAUCAGGAGGAACACCGGUGGCGAAGGCGGAUCUCUGGGCCAUUACUGACGCUGAGGAGCGAAAGCGUGGGGAGCGAACAGGAUUAGAUACCCUGGUAGUCCACGCCGUAAACGUUGGGAACUAGGUGUUGGCGACAUUCCACGUCGUCGGUGCCGCAGCUAACGCAUUAAGUUCCCCGCCUGGGGAGUA
rnacentral:rRNA from 1 species